AACGAACGCUGGCGGCAUGCCUAACACAUGCAAGUCGAACGAGACCUUCGGGUCUAGUGGCGCACGGGUGCGUAACGCGUGGGAACCUGCCCUUAGGUUCGGAAUAACUCCCCGAAAGGGGUGCUAAUACCGGAUAAUGUCUUCGGACCAAAGAUUUAUCGCCUUUGGUUGGGCCCGCGUUGGAUUAGCUAGUUGGUAGGGUAAAAGCCUACAAAGGCGCCGAUCCAUAGCUGGUCUGAGAGGAUGAUCAGCACCACUGGGACUGAGACACGGCCCAGACUCCUACGGGAGGCAGCAGUGGGGAAUAUUGGACAAUGGGCGAAAGCCUGAUCCAGCAAGGCCGCGUGAGUUAUGAAGGCCUUAGGGUUGUAAAGCUCUUUUACCCGUGAUGAUAAUGACAGUACCGGGAGAAUAAGCUCCGGCUAACUCCGUG
rnacentral:rRNA from 1 species